AAUUUUUUGUUUUUAUUUUCUUAUAUUUCAUUUUCGCGUUUUUAUGCCAUCACGCUCGAACUUUUGCUGCUGCUGUUGUUGUCGCUUUUGCUGUUCGAGCACAAAAUUGUGUUGGUUGCAUUUGGAAAAUGAGUUUUUCGCUGAUGUUGCUGCUGACGUGGCUGCUGUUGCAAGUGUCGUUUGCUGCCCUUGCAUUUGUCAUGGCCGAUGGAACCUGCCGCAAACAGAAUCGAGAAGAGAAAGAAAAGAAAAUUCCAAAAUACGCGCAGAAAUAACAGAAGAACUAAAACACGCUGCCACUUCCUCAGUGGGACUGUGACAAAAUCAAGUGCAAAGUUCUAGAUUAGACCACGAAAACAAAUGUUUAACAAAUAAGUACAUACAUAAUCUUUAAAAUUCCAGACGAAACAUUCAAGGACGAUGCAACUUCUAGAAGUGAGAUAAACUUUUUAUUUGUGCGAAAACUUGCAUUUUAUUUGUGAGAGUAAAUAAAAUUGUAUGGUAAAGAA